rnacentral:rRNA from 1 species
GAUGAACGCUAGCGGCAGGCCUAACACAUGCAAGUCGAGGGGCAGUCUUCGGAUGGUGGCGACCGGCGCACGGGUGCGUAACGCGUAUGCAACCUACCUCUUACAGUGGGAUAGCCCAGAGAAAUUUGGAUUAAUACCGCAUAGUAUACAGAUUCAGCAUUGGGACUGUAUUAAACAUUUAUGGGUAAGAGAUGGGCAUGCGUUCUAUUAGUUAGUUGGAGUGGUAACGGCACCCCAAGACAGCGAUAGAUAGGGGCCCUGAGAGGGGGAGUCCCCCACACUGGUACUGAGACACGGACCAGACUCCUACGGGAGGCAGCAGUGAGGAAUAUUGCACAAUGGGCGAAAGCCUGAUGCAGCAAUGCCGCGUGUGUGAAGAAGGCCUGCGGGUUGUAAAGCACUUUCGGUAGGGAAGAUAAUGACGGUACCUACAGAAGAAGCACCGGCUAACUCCGUGCAGCAGCCGCGGUAA